GUAACGAGCGCAACCCUUGUCCUUAGUUACCAGCACGUUAUGGUGGGCACUCUAAGGAGACUGCCGGUGACAAACCGGAGGAAAGGUGGGGAUGACGUCAAGUCAUCAUGGCCCUUACGGCCUGGGCUACACACGUGCUACAAUGGUCGGUACAAAGGGUUGCCAAGCCGCGAGGUGGAGCUAAUCCCAUAAAACCGAUCGUAGUCCGGAUCGCAGUCUGCAACUCGACUGCGUGAAGUCGGAAUCGCUAGUAAUCGUGAAUCAGAAUGUCACGGUGAAUACGUUCCCGGGCCUU
rnacentral:rRNA from 1 species